CAACGAGUUCAGUGAUGAGCUUGUGAACGGUAAGAAGUCAGCAGAGGUCAUAGUAGUCCAGUGGAUGAAGGAC
rfam:Bacillus krulwichiae strain AM31D, complete genome.